CAUGGUUUCAAGGAUGAAAGACGGUUUCGGCUGUCACUUACAGAUGGACCCGCGGCGCAUUAGCUAGUUGGUGAGGUAACGGCUCACCAAGGCGACGAUGCGUAGCCGACCUGAGAGGGUGAUCGGCCACACUGGGACUGAGACACGGCCCAGACUCCUACGGGAGGCAGCAGUAGGGAAUCUUCCGCAAUGGACGAAAGUCUGACGGAGCAACGCCGCGUGAGUGAUGAAGGUUUUCGGAUCGUAAAGCUCUGUUGUUAGGGAAGAACAAGUGCAAGAGUAACUGCUUGCACCUUGACGGUACCUAACCAGAAAGCCACGGCUAACUACGUGCCAGCAGCCGCGGUAAUACGUAGGUGGCAAGCGUUGUCCGGAAUUAUUGGGCGUAAAGGGCUCGCAGGCGGUUUCUUAAGUCUGAUGUGAAAGCCCCCGGCUCAACCGGGGAGGGUCAUUGGAAACUGGGAAACUUGAGUGCAGAAGAGGAGAGUGGAAUUCCACGUGUAGCGGUGAAAUGCGUAGAGAUGUGGAGGAACACCAGUGGCGAAGGCGACUCUCUGGUCUGUAACUGACGCUGAGGAGCGAAAGCGUGGGGAGCGAACAGGAUUAGAUACCCUGGUAGUCCACGCCGUAAACGAUGAGUGCUAAGUGU
rnacentral:rRNA from 2 species